rnacentral:rRNA from 1 species
ACUCCUACGGGAGGCAGCAGUGGGGAAUAUUGGACAAUGGGCGCAAGCCUGAUCCAGCAAUGCCGCGUGCAGGAUGAAGGCCUUCGGGUUGUAAACUGCUUUUGUACGGAACGAAACGGCGAGCUCUGAUACAGUUUGCUAAUGACGGUACCGUAAGAAUAAGCACCGGCUAACUACGUGCCAGCAGCCGCGGUAAUACA